CCGCGUAUUGCUGUGAGAAUCAACUCUCUGCUUUAAAGGCGCAAUGGUUUUUAUUUGACAGCUCGACACAGGCAACGCCAAUCGAUGCCAGUGUGUUUGAUCACUCCUUGGUCAAACGAAUUGGUGUUCGACUUCUCGUGCAUCUUUCUUUACACGCUUUGCCUAGCUGGACGAUAUAUGUUAGCGGCUAUAGCUAGCUAAAUAGCUUGCUAGCUAGGAUUAUCCUUCUGCCUUCUUGUCUUGGACUCCAAAUGACUUUUUUUUUUUUACCACGGCUCGUUAGUCUCGCACAGGAAAGUGGAUGUUACGUCUAUUGGGCUGAAAAAGCUGAGCUGUCCUCAAUUGUUGAUUGCUGAGUAAGAAAACACCUUCUCAAAUCCCUCGAUGUGCUGCACCACACAGCAGUAACCCCCGCGACCUCGGCCCCCGAGCAUGCUUUGAAACCUGAGAAUGCCGCCCCGAC